rnacentral:lncRNA from 1 species
UUAUUACUAAAACACAAGUCAGUCCUAUGAGAUUGCUAACACCCCUUUCUCUUGCAUCUGAGUUAUUGAGAGGAGUAAUUUGAAGAGAGCAACUAAAUUGACCGGCACUGUAGAGGGUCCUGCUGGAGAACUCCAUUUCUUGUACACCAAAGGUUAGCUGUGCAAUGCUGCCUCUCCCAGAGCUGAAAAGACCAAUUAUAUGCUGCUUGCUGCUGCUUGAAUCUCCAGUCCAUGGCAUAAAGCACAGGCUCAUAUGACAGUCACUGGAGGACACAAUAGUAAAAAUGGAGUGGAGCCAGGAGGGCUAACAAAGCAUUAAAGGAGCCUACAACAUCUCUCCCUGCCCCUCCACCCCUUCCCCACUUGGCUGCUGGAAAAUAUUUCUUCAGAUUUGCUGUGUACCUUUGCUGCAAAACCUGACUGCACGUCUGUGGGUUCGUAGAUUAUCUGCACCGUGACAGCCAGACUGUGAAACCUUUGCUUGUGACUGCAGGUCUGGCAGUCUGCUGGCUUCAGUGGGGCUGCUGCCGCGGGAUGCUGUUUUUCAGCGUGAGUAAUGGUGUCAUGAUCUGGCCCAUAAAUUCUGGGUAAUUUGUAAAGUGCCUGUCACAAAGUUAUCUAAAUAGCAAUGGCACAUUGAAAACUGUUCUGAGCUGUUGCAGAGAGUAGUCUUCUCAGUUUGUCUUUCCAGUACAACUUUGUUCUUACAUAGUUUGGUAUGUUCCUUUCCAACCUCAUUUAAGAGCAUCUGAAUUCUGUUCAUAUUGUGGUAAACCAGAUACCAGCAAAACACAAUUGCUGAAGGCAUUUUGAUCCUUAAUAUAGUCAAUAAACAUACUUGAAUGGGACUUCAGAAUAGGUAUUAGAGAGGGCAACAAUUACCUCCCUUCUUCUUUCGUGGUUUCUGAAUGAAUUAAUUUUGUCUCUGUUUGGGCUUUCCUUUGUAUGUUUUUGUUUUGUUUUGUUUUGUUUGUUUGUUUGUUUUUCCUAGAGUUUCAAGAGACUGAUUCUCACUGGCACAAUUCCAUGGAAGUCAGAUUUCUAAGCUGCAAGUGUCGUUGCUGUUCCUGGUUGUGCCUACGAUGUCUGUGGUUGUACAGACUUAACAGAAAGUGCUUCAUUCCUCACUUCCCAGUAUUCCAUCCACACGAGAGCACUGAUGGCAGAAAUCUUCUUGUGCUCCCCUGGGCUGGAAAAGAAUGUCAAUUGCAAUAGAUCAUGGAGGGACAACUUGCUCUGGAAAAAAAGACAUGUGCUCAAAGGCUGUCCUUAAUUCGAGCCAGGGACUGGUGCUGUCUGCACUUUCAGCAUGAUCGCAUCCAUGAGCCAAGAAGCCAAAGGAGAGGAGAGUGCAGUCAGAGGGACAGGGAUUGUUUUCUGGAGGGCUUACUGCAGUCACCUCCGUGUCAGUUGUGCGUGUUGUUUUUAUCCUUCUAAUCAACAAACACCGGCAGCCAAAGAAGAAAGAAGCCGAGCAGUGAAACACAGUGUGUGGCUCUGGCCCUUCCUGGAGAGGGGAGCAGCAGCCGGCCAGAGCCACGCGAACAAAUGAGCUAUUUGUGGGGCCGUGCGAUCCCAAAUGGGAGACGUGUCACACUGCAGAUCUGUGGGACUUGGCAGGCGCGUGCGAGACAGGAGCUGCGGGGCCUCCUGGGCUUUCCACCACCCUUCAGAUCCCUGGCUGUCACAUUAAUCCUGGUUUAAAUCCAACCUCCCCUUUUCCAGUGAUUGACUCCUACAUCUUUUUUUCAUCUCCCGGAGCAGCCAAGCAGCAUCCUGUGCAGCUGAAAGCUAUUCAGCUCCAGGAUCGGCCUACCAAGCACACACUGCAAGAGAAGCUCAUGGCCUUUGGUGGUGGUGAUGGCCAAAUAUGUGUGUAAUGUGCUUAGUCUUCACUAGCCCACACAGCGAGAGUCCCUGCGCCUCUCCUGAACUUGGGCGUAACGUUUUCCCUCCGCCAUCGGGCAGGCCAGCUCUAGACUAAUAUUUUCUAUAGAGUUAAUUAUGACAGGACAAGUGCUGUACCCCGGUGGAAAUUUGCCAUUUGAAAAAUUGCCUAAAAAUAUAUCCUACAGUAAAUGUUUCUCUGCGUGAUUAAGUGUGCAUGUGGACUGUGCUGCGCAGAGGGUUUCCCAAAAACAAAUGUCUCAACUAAGUCUUUUGGCAAGGCCUCCUUGUUUUUUUAGCAGUUUAUCAGCUUUUGCGUUAUUUACUAAUGGCAGGAAUUACUCUGUAAUUCAUUUUUUUACUGAAAAUCCCUAAAGUCUGCAAAGACGGGAACUGCAAAGGUGAAAAGGGAAGGAUGGGGAGAAGCACAGAGUUUCAUUCUUGGGAAUAAAAAUGCCCUCAGGGUUCA